UUCUACGGGACAGCCAAAAAAAAAUUCGCGAUUUCGGCAUUGGUCCCAUAAUAAAAGUUGUUCAGUAUGAGCUAUAAAGUCACUACGCAGAGUAUGAACGGUGGUUAAAAUUUCACCCUGUAUAUUUAAUAUGAUUGACAUCAAUACUUCGUACUAAUAACAAAUUACUCUAAGCAUCGGACCUCCCGCUCUUAUACGGGCCUUGAUAUGAGUGCACAUAGCCAGCUAGAUAGCAUUAUAACUAAAGUGUUUUAAUUCAAGUUUUAUUAAAUGUUAUACCCCAUCGUUUUACUAUAGGAAAAGAUACAUUUAUUGAGAAAGAUGUGUAAAAUCUAAGACAAUUUCGUGCUUCGAAUUUCACAUGUAAACGGGAUGGCGCUGUACAGCUGCAUACAUUUUCCGCUAACUCUGAUUGUUAAAAUUGACGUUUGACAAUUCAGCGACCACAGAAAUUAUGACGCACUACAGCGCCAUCUGUUUUGGUGGUCAAACUAAGAGGCACGUGUUUUUCUUAGACUUUACCUCUCUAUUACAAUCAAUUAUCUUUGCUAUAGGUUUAAAAUAGAGAAUCUAUAUUGCUUUUGACAGAUAUUUGGGUCAAAACAGCGUCCCAGAUAGCAUUUAUACGUCAUUAUGACGUCAGCGACGUCUUUAUGACUUCAUGUUGACGUCAUUAUUACGUCAUUAUGACAUCGCUGACGACACUUUGCUACCUGGGGUAGUAUAAAAGUACUGAUGUGCCGACAAACUUUCCAAAACUUGGAAAACUUUCACAUGGUACAAUUCGAGAAAAUUCUGCAUGGGAAGUGGAACUUUCACUUCUAAAAUGAAAAUUUCCUUUAGUUUUAAUUUUUAUGGAAACUUUCCGAAACUUGCACUUUUGUUAUGAAAUAGUUUCGCCUAGGUGAUGGAUCGCAAUACUGCCUUAAAAAAAAAAAACAUUUAUUUCAGGUCUUACAUACCCAUAUUUUAACACAUUACAAAAAGAAAAAUAGAAAAUAAAAAAUGAAAAAUAUAAAAUAACAUUAAUAAAAAUUCAAAAUUAAAAUUAUACAAUAUUAACCCUAUCAUUAUUAACCUACAAACAUGCUUUUUAUAUAUAUGUGUAUAUGUAUAUAUAUAUGUUUGUUAAUUUGUCUAGUUCCCUUAGGGCAAUAAUGAGAAAAUAUUUAAUUUUGUUAAGAUGACUGAUAUAUAUCUGAUCGAUUGAUACCAUUCAUGAAAAUUUGUCAUUAAGCCUAUUCUUAAUAUACGGUUGACAAGAUAGUAGUAGUUUUCUAGUUUUGAGCUAAUCUAGUUUUCAAUUUUUCCACUUUCUCACUUUUACUACACACUUUUUAGUCUUCAAAUAAAUUAUAGUCAAGCCUUAUAAAAUUUAGAAAUUCUCACGGCUUAGAACACACUGUUAUUAAUUUCUUGCGGUUUUGAACCGCAAAAAGUGUAGCGUACGGCAUGCGCGCGCAUAACGUAAUAUACGCGCACGCACUUGUAAAACUGAAACCGCAAGACAUUAGACUGAAACCGCAAGAAAUUAGACUGUAACCGCAAGGAAUUAGACUGUAACCGCAAGGAAUUAGACUGUAAUCGCAAGGAAUUAGACUGAAACCGCAAGGAAUUAAUCGCAGGGCGUGUUGCGCCUAACCGUCCUUGUUAAGGGGUAAAUCUAAAGUAUUUACUGUCAAUUUUGCUAGAACUUCUAAUCCAAGAGAAAUGUACUUAAAUAUGUCACUUUGGAGAUGUUAUUUUGCCGUCCAAAAUAUGUAUGAAUUGUAUUGACCAGUAGUGUCAGCUUGAUGUUUUCAAAAGUAAGGAAAUGGACAUGGAAUCUUACUUAUCAAUCUUCCUUCAUUUAUUUUUUCUUCCCUUUCUCAAUCUGGCUCCUAGCCUAUUCAGUAGUGACCCUUACUACGGAGCAGGUGGUCCCGGGUUCGAAUCCUGGUAAGGGUAUUUAUUUAUGUCUUUAUCACAGAUAUUUGUGACGUUUACAAUAAAAAGGUACCGCAUUGUCGCUUGUCGAUAAGGUUGGUUUUAAAUUGAAGCUAUAUGGAAAUAGCGCCUUAUUGACAACCAACAAUAAGUACCUUUAUGGAUGAAAAUGGCACAUUUGUUCCUGAGUUAUGGAUGUUUUCUAUGCAUUUGAGUAUUUUUGAUAUUCUUUAUUAAUAAAAAGUACAUAAAAUACGCAAACAAGGAAGAAGAUAAAAUUAAUAACUUAAAACUAUACCUCAAAACCUAAGUAACCAAACUUAAUUGUACCAGUCCUUGGCACCUAUUUCUGUAGGAAUGUCACUUAAAAGAUUGAAGGUGCCAACCAUUGGCAUGUAUAAAUUUAAUGUAAUGGGUUGAUACCUAAAUAAAAAACAUUUUUUUUCGCACUUAAACUAUCGUGAGACAUGUUUCAAAAUAUUUAUCAGUACGGUUUUUACUCACUAUUAUUUUUAGUCGCUUUAGUCCGCGGACACUCGUGCCUGAGGAUGGAUUCCCAAAGAAUCCGAAACAUGUCGCCAAAAGCGACUAAAAAUAAUAGUGAGUAAAAACCGUACUGAUAAAUAUUUUGAAACAUUUUUUUUUAUUGGUGGAGUGCCGAUAAUAGGCCAGUUUAAUUUAUGUUUCAUCGCUGUGUUUCUUAGAUCCAAACAGUCCUAAGCAAUAUGAUUCGAGGCUUUAUUUACGACAAUCUUAUGGCACAUCCUCUAAAAUAAGAAAUGAGUAGUGAAGUGCAAAUUGAGGAAAGUUCGCAAAAAUUCGGAAGUUUCCGAAUAUUUCUGGAAAGUUUCUAUUUUGAGUGAAAUUUUGGAGUUUGGUGGAAAAUUCCAUAAUUUUUUGUCAACUUUUCAUCGGCACAUCAAUAGAAAUGACACAUUUGUGACGUUAUCAACCAAAAGGUACCACAUUGUCGCUUGUUGAUAAGGUUGAUUUAUAAUCGAAGCUAUAUGGAAAUAGCGCCUUACUGGCAAGCGACAUUAAAGUACCCUUUUGGUUGAAAAUGGCACAUUUUAAAGUUACGACAUAAGUUUUCGCGGAGAACUUUGUCGCUUUAAAUUUGUUUAAAUAAUUCCAUUGCCUUGAUAUAGCAUGUAAUUGUAACAUAAGUUAGAUAAGGUACUAUAUUCUUGACUUGUCAUUUAAAUAUUAUUAUUACAUAUUUUGCGUCCUCUUUAGAUUUGAGAUCGUUUAUGCUUUUUAGAUAUAUAUGAAUAUAUUUUCAUAUUAAAUAAAAAAAAAAAAACAAUGUACAUAUUCUGUAUAAGGUGUAAAAAAUUGCUUUAAAUUUUAUUUAGGUUCCCGUUUUUGAUUUUUCCGUGAAAUGGACGAAAUUAUGUAAAAAAAAACUAGUAUAGUGAGCAAUUAUUUACACCCUGUAUAAUAAUUAAUUUACUAAGUCAAUAAGAUAAUUAUGUUUAUUAUAUCGAUGAAUACUUAAUUAUUAUUAUAAUUAUUUUAAUGCUUGUGGAUCAUUUACAAGUAUUUUGUUAUGGAUAUGUCAGGAUAAAGCAAAGAUUCACUGAUUACAUAAGAUGUGUAUUCUAAGACAAAUUUGCGCUUAGAAUUUGACAGCCAAUGAAGAUGGCGCUGUAACGCACACAUGUAAUUCUGGUUGUCAAAGUACCUGUAGACUUUAGAUAAUACAGUGACCAUGCAAUACACCGCCAUCUAAUUUAGCUGUCAAACUGUGGGGGCACGAUUUUCCUUAGAUCGUACAUCUGUAGAGAUUAGAGUCAAGUCUGCUUUAUGGGCAUUUUCACUUAAAAGUGUACCAUUUACUUUUUUUUCGAAAAACCAUCAACUUUUGGGUUAUUUAGACUCAGUAUCACGAGUACUUUUGAAUGAGACAAAGAAAAAAAGUGUCCCCAGUUUUCCAUACAAGUUUUGGGUGUCAGUUUUGUAACGGUCCAUACAAAAUGUAUGUGAAAAUGCGUUACAAAACUGACAUUUUUUGGGACAUAUUUUUUUUCUUUUGAAAUCGAUAGGCCACGGUGAUUCUAAGUAGAAAUAACCCAAAAAUUGAUGGAUUUUCGAAAAAUGUCCUUUUGAGUGAAAAUGCCCCAAUAGGGUUUUAUCAUACUAAUCUAUCAUUGUCCGGUCGAACAUGCAAAAUACACUCAAAACAACAAUAAAAAUGGUCACUUUGUAACAAAUUUGUACACAGUGACCCAUUUUCAUUGUCCCUUAAGUGUAGGACGACGUUUCAUUCGACUUGUGGUCUAUACUGAGAUUUUAUACGACUUAGGGCCACCACACACUAGCGUCUCCCUAGCGUUGGCGCCUAGUCAACUCUAUGGCUGCUGCUCGACGCAACGUUGGCGCAACUGCGCAGCGACGCCGUUUUCCAAAGCGCUGACUAGACGCCACGCUCAAAAGACGCUAGUGUGUGGUAGGCCUUAAAGCAACUUAUGUAUAUUUUGCUCACGUAUCACGCCCUUAAAACUAUAGUGCACUGAAUUGAAUUUCCGUUGUCAAUUUAUUAUCUCAAUGUUUUUUCAAAUAUUUUCUUUCAAUCUGUUUAAUUACUUCAAGUAUUUCACGCACGUGUGAUGUAAUAAAACAUAAUGAUGGGUAAAGUAAAGAAUAAAAUUAGCAUCAUUUAGUUGGACUGUGGACGUUUUCUUAACCCAUUUAUCGCUAAUCACGACACGUUCUUUUGCCUCUGCAUUUUCGCUACAUACCAGGAAAUCCGUGUUAUCGGCUACGACGUAGCGUUACGACCGUAGCCCAGCGGUGAAUGUGUUAAUAAAACGUACAACGUCGAUCGAUCAAUUUUUAACCGCUAUGUCGACUUUACAGUGUUUCGAUUGGUUAUUGACGUGUUAUUAAGUAUUUAUUAUAAUUGAAUCAAGUCACGUGAAAUAUAAAAGGGUUAGCGGUCCUAGCCUAGAUGACAAUCGUUUGUCGACAAACGCCAAUCGAAAAGCCUACCGCGAAGCACGUUUGACGUGUUGCCUCUCUGUCGCACUUGUAAAUUCGUAUGAUAAUAAUACAUACAUACAUACAUACAUAUAAUCACGCCUAUUUCCCGGAGGGGUAGGCAGAGACCACGGAUUUCCACUUGCUACGAUCCUGACAUACCUCUUUCGCUUCCUUCACUUUCAUAACAUUCCUCACGCUCGCCGGUUUAGGGUGCUCUUGACCUGGCAUUUCUUCAGGAUUUCCCCGAUCUGAUCAGAGAAAGUCCGCCGAGGUCUGCCCCUUUCAACUCCCGUUUCUACCUGAUAAUAAAUUAAUAAUAAUAAUUCAUAAUUUAUUGCUUAUUAUCAUGUGGUACAAAACAGAUGUUACAUUAGGGUACGUUCACACAUGAACCCUGUUAGGGCACAGCAAGUAUUUCUUAAAACUAAUAACUAGGUACAUAAAUUAAAAUUAACGCAUUUUCAUCAAGGCAUAAGAUUAAAAGCUAAUACUUAUUAUUUUAUACUUAUUUUAUUAUAUUAAUAACUUAUUAUUUUAUUAUAUUUUUUUUAUUUUAUUAAAAUCAAUUAGGUACUUAUUUGGGUACUAUUUCAAUAGGUACAUAUAAGUUUUGAUUUAUUUUUAUGUAAGUGUGACAGGGAGGCAACACGUCGAACGUGGUUCGCGGUAGGCCCUCAGAACCCCUAGUGUAAAUUUCAUUCGAUACGCGUGACGGACGUAAGCGUAUCCGUUAACUUUCAUUCUGUAUGGGAUUUCGAACAGCGCGCCAAGCGGAACGUUCUGGAAACUCAAAUUCCCAUACAAAAUGAGACAACGCAACCGCGUACGUCACGUCACGCGAUCGAAUUAAAUUUUCACUAGGUCGGUCACGUGAUCAUUUCCAUAAAUUAUUUAUUUUAAGUGUCAAUUUGCGUUUUCUCCAAACGCUUGUCACUUGUCUAGGCCCCCAGGCGUAGGCGCCUGUUUACCACGCUGACAAUUGGCACUUGACACUGACAAUUUUCUGUUCAUUUCUGCGCCGAAGUAAGCAUGGGGAUUUAUGUUUGAACUUCAAAGUGGUGAAGUCUCUUUGUAACUGGUUAUAUUCGAUAUACCCUCAGAUUGUGGUAGUGGCGCCCUGGCGCCCCCUAUGCAGAGUUUCGCGUAAUAUUCUCUAUUAACGACGGUCAAUAUUUAAUUGUUGGACCAGCCAUGUACGGGGAAUUGUCAUUGUUAGUGACAAUUGUCAAAAUGUGACGUUUUCAACUAAAAGGUACCACAUUGUCGGUUGUCGAUAAGGUUGAUUUCAAAUUGAAGUUUUAAGGAAAUAGCGCCGUAUUGACAAGCGACAAUAAGUAUCCUUUUGAUUGAAAACUGCACAAAUAUUGAAACAGGGGCCAUGUCAGUGCACUGAGCAUACUAUUUAAGUUCGGCAAUAGUUAUGGAAAGCAAUGAACAAUGAAUGAGGUUGCUGUUAUUAUAAUGUUUUUAUCUUAUUAUCAAUAUUAUCCUGUAAAUAGUAUAAAAACGAUUGAAAAAUUCAUGCAAAUAAAAAGUUAUCAAUUAA